AGUGAACGCUGGCGGUAGGCCUAACACAUGCAAGUCGAACGGCAGCACAGGAGAGCUUGCUCUCUGGGUGGCGAGUGGCGGACGGGUGAGGAAUACAUCGGAAUCUACUCUGUCGUGGGGGAUAACGUAGGGGAACUUACGCUAAUACCGCAUACGACCUACGGGUGAAAGCAGGGGACCUUCGGGCCUUGCGCGAUUGAAUGAGCCGAUGUCGGAUUAGCUAGUUGGCGGGGUAAAGGCCCACCAAGGCGACGAUCCGUAGCUGGUCUGAGAGGAUGAUCAGCCACACUGGAACUGAGACACGGUCCAGACUCCUACGGGAGGCAGCAGUGGGGAAUAUUGGACAAUGGGCGCAAGCCUGAUCCAGCCAUACCGCGUGGGUGAAGAAGGCCUUCGGGUUGUAAAGCCCUUUUGUUGGGAAGGAAAUCCAGCUGGCUAAUACCCGGUUGGGAUGACGGUACCCAAAGAAUAAGCACCGGCUAACUUCGUGCCAGCAGCCGCGGUAA
rnacentral:rRNA from 1 species